ACCACAGGGAGGGGCUGGACGUCACACACAACCAGGAAGUGACGUAUCAGGAGAAUUAAGCACGUCAAUCAGUCCUCACACACACACAAAUGACCAUCAUGCGUCACUGGGCUGACUGACAGCUCUCUCACCCAAUCACAGACCGCUUCCUCCCAGCCGAUUGGGGAAGUCAGUGGUCCAAGGUUGUCAUGGCUGCAACACUGACAGUCCACUGGCUGAAUUAUAGCUCAGUCUUCGUCUGUGUGUGUGUGUGUGUGUGUGUGUGUGUGUGUGUGUGUGUGUGUGUGUGUGUGUGUGUGUGUGUGUGUGUGUGUGUGUGUGUGUGUGUGUGUGUGUGUGUGUGUGUGUGUGUGUGUGUGUGUAUUGUCAACAUUUUCAGACAUAUAGGUCUAAAGUUUGCACUAUUCACUACACAACACAUCUCUGUAGCAGACAUAAGGUCUAUUAACCAAUCAGAGAGAUGUGAGGGAAAAUUCUCUCCUCCUGUCUAGAGCCUAGGUUAUGUUCCUAUCCAGUCUCCUGUCUAGAGCCUAGGUUAUGUUCCUAUCCAGUCUCCUCCUGUCUAGAGCCUAGGUUAUGUUCCUAUCCAGUCUCCUCCUGUCUAGAGCCUAGGUUAUGUUCCUAUCCAGUCUCCUGUCUAGAGCCUAGGUUAUGUUCCUAUCCAGUCUCCUGUCUAGAGCCUAGGUUAUGUUCCUAUCCAGUCUCCUCCUGUCUAGAGCCUAGGUUAUGUUCCUAUCCAGUCUCCUCCUGUCUAGAGCCUAGGUUAUGUUCCUAUCCAGUCUCCUCCUGUCUAGAGCCUAGGUUAUGUUCCUAUCCAGUCUCCUCCUGUCUAGAGCCUAGGUUAUGUUCCUAUCCAGUCUCCUGUCUAGAGCCUAGGUUAUGUUCCUAUCCAGUCUCCUGUCUAGAGCCUAGGUUAUGUUCCUAUCCAGUCUCCUCCUGUCUAGAGCCUAGGUUAUGUUCCUAUCCAGUCUCCUCCUGUCUAGAGCCUAGGUUAUGUUCCUAUCCAGUCUCCUCCUGUCUAGAGCCUAGGUUAUGUUCCUAUCCAGUCUCCUGUCUAGAGCCUAGGUUAUGUUCCUAUCCAGUCUCCUCCUGUCUAGAGCCUAGGUUAUGUUCCUAUCCAGUCUCCUCCUGUCUAGAGCCUAGGUUAUGUUCCUAUCCAGUCUCCUGUCUAGAGCCUAGGUUAUGUUCCUAUCCAGUCUCCUCCUGUCUAGAGCCUAGGUUAUGUUCCUAUCCAGUCUCCUCCUGUCUAGAGCCUAGGUUAUGUU